UGGUUAAGUUACUAAGGGCACACAGUGGAUGCCUUGGCGCUAGGAGACGAAGAAGGACGCAGCGAACUGCGAUAAGCCUCGGGGAGCGGUAAGCACGCUUUGAUCCGGGGAUCUCCGAAUGGGGCAACCCACCAUCUGUAAUGGGAUGGUAUCCUUCACUGAAUCCAUAGGUGAUGAGAAGGCAGACCCGGUGAACUGAAACAUCUAAGUAGCCGGAGGAAGAGAAAACAAUAGUGAUGCCGUCAGUAGUGGCGAGCGAACGCGGAAGAGCCUAAACCGUCGGGUUUACCCAGCGUGGUUGUGGGGCGUCUCACAUGGAGUUACAAAGGAUGGAUGUAGAUGAACAGCUUGGGAAAGCUGACCAAAGAGCGUGACAGUCGCGUAAUCCAAACAGCCAUCCCUCCGAGACCAACCCCGAGUAGCACGGGACACGUGAAAUCCCGUGUGAAUCUGGCAGGACCAUCUACUAAGGCUAAAUACUACCUAGCGACCGAUAGUGAACCAGUACCGUGAGGGAAAGGUGAAAAGCACCCCGGGAGGGGAGUGAAACAGUACCUGAAACCGUGUGCUUACAAAUAGUCGGAGCCCGUUAAAAGGGUGACGGCGUGCCUUUUGUAGAAUGAACCGGCGAGUUACGGUAGCGUGCGAGGUUAAGUCGAAGAGACGGAGCCGCAGAGAAAGCGAGUCUGAAUAGGGCGCAAGUACGUUGCCGUAAACCCGAAACCGUGUGAUCUAGCCAUGUCCAGGGUGAAGGUAGGGUAACACCUACUGGAGGACCGAACCCACGCACGUUGAAAAGUGCGGGGAUAAGGUGUGGCUAGCGGUGAAAUUCCAAUCAAACUCGGAGAUAGCUGGUUCUCCCCGAAAUAGCUUUAGGGCUAGCCUCGGAAUGAGAGUCUUGGAGGUAGAGCACUGAUUGGGCUAGGGGCCCUCACCGGGUUACCGAACUCAGUCAAACUCCGAAUGCCAAUGACUUAUGUCCGGGAGUCAGACGGUGAGUGCUAAGAUCCAUCGUCAAAAGGGAAACAGCCCAGACCAUCAGCUAAGGUCCCCAAGUAUACGUUAAGUGGGAAACGAUGUGGACUUGCCCAGACAACCAGGAUGUUCGCUUAGAAGCAGCCCAACCCUUGGGACCUACUUCAGCCCCAGGAUGCGAUGAGCCGACAUCGAGGUGCCAAACCUCCCCGUCGAUGUGGACUCUUGGGGGAGAUAAGCCUGUUAUCCCCAGGGUAGCUUUUAUCCGUUGAGCGAUGGCCCUUCCAUGCGGAACCACCGGUUCACUAAGCCCGACUUUCGUCCCUGCUCGACUUGUAGGUCUCGCGGUCAAGCUCCCUUCUGCCUUUACACUCUACGAAUGAUUUCCGACCAUUCUGAGGUAACCUUUGGGCGCCUCCGUUACCUUUUAGGAGGCGUCCGCCCCAGUCAAACUGCCCACCUGGCAUGGUCCUCUCGCCCGAUGAGGGCGACGAGUUAGAAACUCCGUACAUCAAGGGUGGUAUCCCACCGACAGCUCCACAGAGGCUGGCGCCCCUGCUUCUCAGCUUCCCACUUAUCCUGUACAUGAUGCACAAAGUUCCAAUACCAGGCUACAGUAAAGCUCCAUGGGGUCUUUCCGUCUUGUCGCGGGUAACCUGCAUCUUCACAGGUAUUAUGAUUUCACCGGGUCUCUUGCCGAGACAGCGCCCAAGUCGUUACGCCUUUCGUGCGGGUCGGAACUUACCCGACAAGGAAUUUCGCUACCUUAGGACCGUUAUAGUUACGGCCGCCGUUUACUGGGGCUUCGGUUCAAAGCUUCGCUUGCGCUAACUCAUCCCCUUAACCUUCCAGCACCGGGCAGGUUAAGGGGAUGAGUUAGCGCAAGCGAAGCUUUGAACCGAAGCCCCAGUAAACGGCGGCCGUAACUAUAACGGUCCUAAGGUAGCGAAAUUCCUUGUCGGGUAAGUUCCGACCCGCACGAAAGGCGUAACGACUUGGGCGCUGUCUCGGCAAGAGACCCGGUGAAAUCAUAAUACCUGUGAAGAUGCAGGUUACCCGCGACAAGACGGAAAGACCCCAUGGAGCUUUACUGUAGCUUGGUAUUGGAACUUUGUGCAUCAUGUACAGGAUAUGUGGGAAGCUGAGAAGCAGGGGCGCCAGCCUCUGUGGAGCUGUCGGUGGGAUACCACCCUUGAUGUACUGAGUUUCUAACUCGUCGCCCUCAUCGGGCGAGAGGACGAUGCCAGGUGGGCAGUUUGACUGGGGCGGUCGCCUCCUAAAAGGUAACGGAGGCGCCCAAAGGUUCCCUCAGAAUGGUCGGAAAUCAUUCGUAGAGUGUAAAGGCAGAAGGGAGCUUGACUGCGAGACCUACAAGUCGAGCAGGGACGAAAGUCGGGCUUAGUGAUCCGGUGGUUCCGCAUGGAAGGGCCAUCGCUCAACGGAUAAAAGCUACCCUGGGGAUAACAGGCUUAUCUCCCCCAAGAGUCCACAUCGACGGGGAGGUUUGGCACCUCGAUGUCGGCUCAUCGUAUCCUGGGGCUGAAGUAGGUCCCAAGGGUUGGGCUGUUCGCCCAUUAAAGUGGUACGCGAGCUGGGUUCAGAACGUCGUGAGACAGUUCGGUCCCUAUCUGUCGCGGGCGCAGGAAGUUUGAGGAGAGCUGUCCUUAGUACGAGAGGACCGGGAUGGACGCACCUCUGGUGCACCAGUUGUCACGCCAGUGGCAUAGCUGGGUAGCUAUGUGCGGACGGGAUAAGCGCUGAAAGCAUCUAAGCGUGAAGCCCCCCUUAAGAUGAGAUUUCCCACAGUGUUAAGCUGGUAAGACCCCUCAUAGACGAUGAGGUUGAUAGGUUCGGUGUGGAAGCGCGGCAACGCGUGGAGCUGACGAAUACUAAUCGGUCGAGGACUUAUCCACA
rnacentral:rRNA from 1 species